AGAGUUUGAUCCUGGCUCAGGAUCAACGCUAGCGACAGGCCUAACACAUGCAAGUCGAGGGGCAGCAGGAAGUAGCAAUACUUUGCUGGCGACCGGCGCACGGGUGCGUAACGCGUAUGCAACCUGGCUCGAACAGGGGAACAGCCUUCCGAAAGGAAGAUUAAUACCCCAUACGAAACUCCCCCGCAUGAGAGAGUUUGGAAAGAAGCAAUUCGGUUCGAGAUGGGCAUGCGUCCCAUUAGCUAGUUGGCGGUGCAACGGACCACCAAGGCGACGAUGGGUAGGGGUUCUGAGAGGAAGGUCCCCCACACUGGUACUGAGACAGGGACCAGACUCCUACGGGAGGCAGCAGUGAGGAAUAUUGGUCAAUGGACGCAAGUCUGAACCAGCCAAGUCGCGUGCAGGAAUAAGGCCCUAUGGGUCGCAGACUGCUUUUGCAUGAGAAUAAAAAGUGGGACGUGUCCCACCCUGUAGGUAUCAUGCGAAUAAGGAUCGGCUAACUCCGUGCCAGCAGCCGCGGUAAUACGGAGGAUCCGAGCGUUAUCCGGAUUCAUUGGGUUUAAAGGGUGCGCAGGCGGGUCUGUAAGCCCGUGGUGAAAGCCUGGUGCUCAACGCCAGAGGUGCCGCGGGAACUGCAGGUCUUGAGUCGUGACGAGGGCGGCGGAAUGCGAAGUGUAGCGGUGAAAUGCUUAGAUAGUUCGCAGAACGCCGAUUGCGAAGGCAGCCGCCCAGGGACGCACUGACGCUGAGGCUCGAAAGCAUGGGUAGCGAACAGGAUUAGAUACCCUGGUAGUCCAUGCCGUAAACGAUGAGUGCCAAAUGUUGG
rnacentral:rRNA from 1 species